rnacentral:rRNA from 1 species
GGACGGCUCAGUAACACGUGGCUAACCUACCCUCGGGUGGGGGAUAACCUCGGGAAACUGAGGAUAAUACCCCAUAGGAGAAGAGGUCUGGAAUGAUCCUUCUCUGAAAACAUAUGUGCCCGAGGAUGGGGCUGCGUCUGAUUAGGUAAUUGGUGGGGUAACGGCCCACCAAGCCUACGAUCAGUACGGGCCUUGAGAGAGGCAGCCCGGAGAUGGGGACUGAGACACGGCCCCAGGCCCUACGGGGCGCAGCAGGCGCGAAACCUCCGCAAUGCACGAAAGUGCGACGGGGGGACCCCAAGUGCUUACGCACUGCGUAGGCUUUUCUAAAGUGUAAAAAGCUUUAGGAAUAAGGGCUGGGCAAGUCCGGUGCCAGCAGCCGCGGUAACACCGGCGGCCCGAGUGGUGACCACUUUUAUUGGGCCUAAAGCGUCCGUAGCCGGUCCAGUAAGUCCCUGUUUAAAUCCUACGGCUUAACCGUAGGGCUGGCAGGGAUACUGCUGGACUUGGGACCGGGAGAGGGCGAGGGUACUUCAGGGGUAGCGGUGAAAUGUGUAGAUCCCUGGAGGACCACCUAUGGCGAAGGCACUCGCCUGGAAC